CGUGGGUAACCUGCCCAAGAGAUCGGGAUAACACCUGGAAACAGAUGCUAAUACCGGAUAACAACAGAUGAUGCCUAUCAACUGUUUAAAAGAUGGUUCUGCUAUCGCUCUUGGAUGGACCUGCGGUGCAUUAGCUAGUUGGUAGGGUAACGGCCUACCAAGGCGAUGAUGCAUAGCCGAGUUGAGAGACUGAUCGGCCACAUUGGGACUGAGACACGGCCCAAACUCCUACGGGAGGCAGCAGGC
rnacentral:rRNA from 1 species